CCUACGGGAGGCAGCAGUAGGGAAUCUUCCGCAAUGGACGAAAGUCUGACGGAGCAACGCCGCGUGAGUGAGGAAGGUCUUCGGAUCGUAAAACUCUGUUGUCAGGGAAGAACCGCCGGGAUGACCUCCCGGUCUGACGUACCUACAAAGC
rnacentral:rRNA from 1 species